rnacentral:rRNA from 1 species
UACGGGGGGUGCAAGCGUUGCUCGGAAUUAUUGGGCGUAAAGGGUAGGUAGGUGGUCUCAUUUGUCUGGGGUGAAAGCCUUGAGCUUAACUCAAGAAGUGCCCCGGAAACGGUGAGACUGGAGUCCUGGAGAGGGUCGUGGAAUUCCCGGUGUAGCGGUGAAAUGCGUAGAGAUCGGGAGGAACACCAGAGGCGAAGGCGGCGACCUGGACAGGCACUGACACUCAACUACGAAAGCGUGGGGAGCAAACAGG